AGUCCUGGAAACAGGGAUACUGAGAUGGAGAGGCUUGAGCGCUGCUGCAGCGGACUCAGACGCGAGAAGCUCUGUGGUGUCUGAGACGCCGGAGGAGAAGAGUCCCCGUCACUUGGGAGCCCAGCUCCGCCGCUCCUGCCGGGAUGCUCGGUGGUCGGCAGAUGAAAGCUCCCUUCUUGGUCACUGACUCAGGACUAUGAAGGCAGUGGAACCCAGAGGUUGCUUAAUGGAGAGUAUACCUUUAUUCGUCUUUUGCUCGCAGAUCAAUUAGCCACCCUUCCCUGCCCGCUCUGUGAUGUACGGAAUGCCGACACACUCCUUGUACAAAUGGUACCUGGUGGAGCUCAGCCAGUUGAAACCAAUGAUGGAAAACUGCAAGAGGAGACUCCCGGCUUCAGCCUGGAAUCUGACAAUAACUCUUAACAAGCUGAGACUCUCAGCACCUCAGCUCUCAGCCCAUUCUUCUUAGCUCCAGCCUAUUUUGUACCACCCACACAGAUGAUGCUCCAUCAGAAGGUCUAGAAUAAGGCCAUAGUGACUAACGUCAGUCAUUCCCGGUGUUUCCUCCACCCCGGGGCCAGUAGCUAACCUUCAGGCUGCGCCAGAAGAGAGGGAGACUCAGCUGCGCCUUUUGGAACCUAAGGUGUUGCACCUGGGAGUACAGAACCUGAGGAGGUUCAGCUAUGCGUCACGCUGCCUGCUUCACACAGGUGGCUGAGGCUGGAGGCGAUGCUCAGAGCACUGAUCCAUCCAUUAGCUGGCCUGUGCUGCCCUCUGCCGGCCAGUGGGAUCGAACAGCUACCCUGAGCCAAGAGACCUGGAAUUGGAGCCAGCUGACUGCUUUUAGAGAAAACCUGGACUUUUGAGGGAGUUCUCUUUCCUGUGCAAGUGAGUUUUGGUCUUACAGAGGAAGGGUAAGGCUGGGAAAGUGGCUUGUUCUCAUAGUCUGCGUGGUGCUUCCACUCAGUUGCUGAAAGGGAGAUUAGGAGGCAGCGCUGUUCCGAGAAGCCCCUUAACCAAUGGUUUCCAAUCCUCCCACCGGUGGGAAAACCACCAGCAGGGCACAGCUUCGGGAGACUCAGGUUUCCACCUUUCAAACGGAGGCAAAUGUGACCUUGCAGGAUUUUGAGAGGGUGGGGAUUUCUGUAAAGUGCCAGUGAGGUGUGCAGGCCCCCUUCCCUGUGUAAGUGUAGCUGCCAACACUCAUCAAAGGAGCUUCUCUUUACACCUAACAGAGACACCAUCCCAGAAGACAGCUUGGUACAAUGCGAGAUCAACAGGUCCCAACAGAUACAUCUGCAUCACUGCUCCUGCAUCCACGGCUGAGGGAACUUGGAGGACGUAGGCGUGGGAAGAUUGUAAGAGCCGGUAUCCAAGAAGUCCGCUGUGAGGGUCUCUCCUGGAAAUGGCUGCAUAAAGAAGACUGGAACAGUGGCAGAUCUGAUGGACAUGUUAACAUAGAAGGGAGAGAUUUUCCUGGAGCUCCACCCCUAGACAAAUACCUACAGGCCACUAGUGGCUGCCAGGAGAAAGAGAGUUAGCUACUCCCGGAGAUGAACCCCUUUAUUGGUUGUACAAUGCAGAGUGGUCAGCCCUGAAACCAUGUACAACAGCAAAAACAACAGGCUUAGCAGGUUGUAUUUGCUUAUAAUUGUGAAUACACAUACAUACUAAUCUAUUUAUGUAUGUGAAAACAAUUUUUAAAGAAAGUCAAUCAACUUGAGCAUUGGGGCUUGAGAGGGAUUGGGGGACAGGGAUCUGGCAGGAGCUGGAAGAAAAUGAGGGAAGCGAUGUAAUUCUAUUGUUAAAAUGUUUUUAAAAGUGUGGGCUGGACACAUGGCUCAGAGUUAAGAGUGCUGAGGUCCCUUGCAGAUGACUGGGUUCAGUUCUGAACACUCACAUGACAGCUCACAACCAUCCAUCUGUAACUCCACAUCCAGGGAUCUGACACUUCUGACCUCAGUGGCUCCCAGAUGUCCAAAGUACACACACAUACACACACACACACACACACACACACACACACGCAAAUAGAAUAGGUGAUAUUUAAGAGUGCCUGCAGACAUUUAGAAAUGGCAACUGUAAAGAAGGACAUGUAAUUUCCACUAAAUAUCAGGAUAAGAAAUUUAUCAAGAUUCUGUUACAGGUUUUCAGGGUCAAAGCCUGGGUGCUGUCUAAGCUUGACUGUUUAUGCCCAGUGUCUUUGUGCUGUGUCCCGUAUGUCAAUUAAAGAUACAAGAAAUAAUAAAAAUCAG
ensembl:processed_transcript 4931415C17Rik RIKEN cDNA 4931415C17 gene